rnacentral:rRNA from 1 species
AUUGAACGCUGGCGGCAGGCUUAACACAUGCAAGUCGAGCGGAGAGAGGUAGCUUGCUACUGAUCUUAGCGGCGGACGGGUGAGUAAUGCUUAGGAAUCUGCCUAUUAGUGGGGGACGACAUUUCGAAAGGAAUGCUAAUACCGCAUACGUCCUACGGGAGAAAGCAGGGGAUCUUCGGCCCUUGCGCUAAUAGAUGAGCCUAAGUCGGAUUGGCUAGUUGGUGGGGUACAGGCCUACCAAGGCGACGAUCUGUAGCGGGUCUGAGCGGAUGAUCCGCCACACUGGGACUGAGACACGGCCCAGACCCCUACGGGAGGCAGCAGUGGGGAAUAUUGGACAAUGGGCGCAAGCCUGAUCCAGCCAUGCCGCGUGUGUGAAGAAGGCCUUAUGGUUGUAAAGCACUUUAAGCGAGGAGGAGGCUACUUUAGUUAAUACCUAGAGAUAGUGGACGCUACUCGCAGAAUAAGCACCGGCUAACUCUGUGCCAGCCGCCGCGGUAAGAC